UCUCCGUAGGUGAACCUGCGGAGGGAUCAUUACAGAGUUCAUGCCCUACCGGGUAGAUCUCCCACCAUAUGUUAUUAUUACUUUGUUGCUUUGGCGGGCCGUUAGGCUCCGGCCCGACUACCGGCCCCGGCUGGUAAGCGCCCGCCAGAGGACCCAAAACCCUGAAUAUUAGUGUCGUCUGAGUACUAUAUAAUAGUUAAAACUUUCAACAACGGAUCUCUUGGUUCUG
rnacentral:misc_RNA from 1 species